rnacentral:rRNA from 1 species
AGCGGGAAGUAGUUUACUACUUUGCCGGCGAGCGGCGGACGGGUGAGUAAUGUCUGGGAAACUGCCUGAUGGAGGGGGAUAACUACUGGAAACGGUAGCUAGUACCGCAUAACGUCUUCGGACCAAAGUGGGGGACCUUCGGGCCUCACGCCAUCGGAUGUGCCCAGAUGGGAUUAGCUAGUAGGUGGGGUAAUGGCUCACCUAGGCGACGAUCCCUAGCUGGUCUGAGAGGAUGACCAGCCACACUGGAACUGAGACACGGUCCAGACUCCUACGGGAGGCAGCAGUGGGGAAUAUUGCACAAUGGGCGCAAGCCUGAUGCAGCUAUGCCGCGUGUGUGAAGAAGGCCUUCGGGUUGUAAAGCACUUUCAGCGAGGAGGAAGGCCAAUAACUUAAUACGUUGUUGGAUUGACGUUACUCGCAGAAGAAGCACCGGCUAACUCCGUGCCAGCAGCCGCGGUAAUACGGAGGGUGCAAGCGUUAAUCGGAAUUACUGGGCGUAAAGCGCACGCAGGCGGUUUGUUAAGUCAGAUGUGAAAUCCCCGCGCUUAACGUGGGAACUGCAUUUGAAACUGGCAAGCUAGAGUCUUGUAGAGGGGGGUAGAAUUCCAGGUGUAGCGGUGAAAUGCGUAGAGAUCUGGAGGAAUACCGGUGGCGAAGGCGGCCCCCUGGACAAAGACUGACGCUCAGGUGCGAAAGCGUGGGGAGCAAACA